GACGAACGCUGGCGGCGUGCCUAAUACAUGCAAGUAGAACGCUGAAGAGAGGAGCUUGCUUUUCUUGGAUGAGUUGCGAACGGGUGAGUAACGCGUAGGUAACCUGCCUUGUAGCGGGGGAUAACUAUUGGAAACGAUAGCUAAUACCGCAUAACAAUAGGUGACACAUGUCAUUUAUUUGAAAGGGGCAAUUGCUCCACUACAAGAUGGACCUGCGUUGUAUUAGCUAGUAGGUGUGGUAACGGCUCACCUAGGCGACGAUACAUAGCCGACCUGAGAGGGUGAUCGGCCACACUGGGACUGAGACACGGCCCAGACUCCUACGGGAGGCAGCAGUAGGGAAUCUUCGGCAAUGGACGAAAGUCUGACCGAGCAACGCCGCGUGAGUGAAGAAGGUUUUCGGAUCGUAAAGCUCUGUUGUAAGAGAAGGACGGGUGUGAGAGUGGAAAGUUCACACUGUGACGGUAUCUUACCAGAAAGGGACGGCUAACUACGUGC
rnacentral:rRNA from 1 species